rnacentral:rRNA from 1 species
ACGAACGCUGGCGGCGUGCCUAAUACAUGCAAGUUGAGCGCUGAAGGUUGGUACUUGUACCAACUGGAUGAGCAGCGAACGGGUGAGUAACGCGUGGGGAAUCUGCCUUUGAGCGGGGACAACAUUUGGAAACGAAUGCUAAUACCGCAUAAAAACUUUAAACACAAGUUUUAAGUUUGAAAGAUGCAAUUGCAUCACUCAAAGAUGAUCCCGCGUUGUAUUAGCUAGUUGGUGAGGUAAAGGCUCACCAAGGCGAUGAUACAUAGCCG